GACGAACGCGGCGGCGUGCCUAAUACAUGCAAGUAGGACGCACAGUUUAUACCGUAGCUUGCUACACCAUAGACUGUGAGUUGCGAACGGGUGAGUAACGCGUAGGUAACCUGCCUAUUAGAGGGGGAUAACUAUUGGAAACGAUAGCUAAUACCGCAUAACAGUAUGUAACACAUGUUAGAUGCUUGAAAGAUGCAAUUGCAUCGCUAGUAGAUGGACCUGCGUUGUAUUAGCUAGUAGGUAGGGUAAUGGCCUACCUAGGCGACGAUACAUAGCCGACCUGAGAGGGUGAUCGGCCACACUGGGACUGAGACACGGCCCAGACUCCUACGGGAGGCAGCAGUAGGGAAUCUUCGGCAAUGGGGGGAACCCUGACCGAGCAACGCCGCGUGAGUGAAGAAGGUUUUCGGAU
rnacentral:rRNA from 1 species